CAGUAGCCGCGGGAAUACAGAGGGUGCGAGCGUUAAUCGGAUUUACUGGGCGUAAAGCGUGCGUAGGCGGCUUUUUAAGUCGGAUGUGAAAUCCCUGAGCUUAACUUAGGAAUUGCAUUCGAUACUGGGAAGCUAGAGUAUGGGAGAGGAUGGUAGAAUUCCAGGUGUAGCGGUGAAAUGCGUAGAGAUCUGGAGGAAUACCGAUGGCGAAGGCAGCCAUCUGGCCUAAUACUGACGCUGAGGUACGAAAGCAUGGGGAGCAAACAGGAUUAGAUACCCGCGAGUCCCUGUCUCUUAUACA
rnacentral:rRNA from 1 species